rnacentral:rRNA from 1 species
AUUGAACGCUGGCGGAAUGCUUUACACAUGCAAGUCGAGCGGCAGCACGGGGGCAACCCUGGUGGCGAGCGGCGAACGGGUGAGUAAUACAUCGGAACAUGCCUAGUCGUGGGGGAUAACACUUCGAAAGAAGUGCUAAUACCGCAUACGUCCUGAGGGAGAAAGCGGGGGAUCUUCGGACCUCGCGCGAUUGGAGUGGCCGAUGUCAGAUUAGCUAGUUGGUGGGGUAAAGGCCUACCAAGGCAACGAUCUGUAGCUGGUCUGAGAGGAUGAUCAGCCACACUGGGACUGAGACACGGCCCAGACUCCUACGGGAGGCAGCAGUGGGGAAUUUUGGACAAUGGGGGCAACCCUGAUCCAGCCAUGCCGCGUGAGUGAAGAAGGCCUUCGGGUUGUAAAGCUCUUUCGGCAGGAACGAAACGGCGAGCUCUAACAUAGCUCGCUAAUGACGGUACCUGAAGAAGAAGCACCGGCUAACUACGUGCCAGCCGCCGCCGUAACAC